rnacentral:rRNA from 1 species
GACGAACGCUGGCGGCGUGCUUAACACAUGCAAGUCGAACGGAAAGGCCCUGCUUUUGUGGGGUGCUCGAGUGGCGAACGGGUGAGUAACACGUGAGUAACCUGCCCUUGACUUUGGGAUAACUUCAGGAAACUGGGGCUAAUACCGGAUAGGAGCUCCUGCUGCAUGGUGGGGGUUGGAAAGUUUCGGCGGUUGGGGAUGGACUCGCGGCUUAUCAGCUUGUUGGUGGGGUAGUGGCUUACCAAGGCUUUGACGGGUAGCCGGCCUGAGAGGGUGACCGGCCACAUUGGGACUGAGAUGAGGCCCAGACUCCUACGGGAGGCAGCAGUGGGGAAUAUUGCACAAUGGGCGGGAGCCUGAUGCAGCACCGCCGCGUGCGGGAUGACGGCCUUCGGGUUGUAAACCGCUUUCGCCUGUGACGAGGCGUGAGUGACGGUAAUGGGUAAAGAAGCACCGGCUAACUACGUG